rnacentral:rRNA from 1 species
AACAAACGCUGGCGGCGUGCCUAAUACAUGCAAGUCGAACGGGGAAAGUAGCAAUACGAGUACUAGUGGCGAACGGGUGAGGAAUGCAUGGGUAACCUACCCUCGAGUGGGGAAUAACUAGCCGAAAGGUUAGCUAAUACCGCAUACGUUUCCGGAACUUCGGUUUCGGAAAGAAAGCAAUACCGUGGGUAUUGCGCUCCUGGAUGGGCUCAUGUCCUAUCAGCUUGUUGGUGAGGUAACGGCUCACCAAGGCUUCGACGGGUAGCUGGUCUGAGAGGACGAUCAGCCACACUGGCACUGCGACACGGGCCAGACUCCUACGGGAGGCAGCAGUAAGGAAUAUUGCGCAAUGGACGAAAGUCUGACGCAGCGACGCCGCGUGGGGGGAUGAAGGUCUUCGGAUUGUAAACCCCUUUCGGGAGGGAAGAUGGAGUGGGUAACCACUUGGACGGUACCUCCAGAAGCAGCCACGGCUAACUUCGUGCCAGCAGCCGCGGUAAU